ACUGAUUUAUUUAAUGGCCGCGGUAUUUUGACCGUGCAAAGGUAGCAUAAUAAUUUGUCUUUUAAUUGAAGGCUUGUAUGAAUGGUUGGACGAGAAAAUUACUUUCUUUAUAAUAAAAUGAUUAAUUUUAUUUUUCAGUUAAAAAGCUGAAAUAUUGUUGUAGGACGAGAAGACCCUAUAGAACUUUAUAUUUAUUUUUUAUAUUAAUAUUUUUUGAUAAUAAUAUAUUGUAUAUUUAUAUAUAUUUUGUUGGGGCGACAAGAAAAUUUAUUUAACUUUUUUUUAUUAAUUUCAUUAAUUAAUGUAUAAAUGAUCCUUUAUUAAGGAUAAUUAGAAUAAGUUACCUUAGGGAUAACAGCGUAAUUUUUUUGGAGAGUUCUUAUCGAUAAAAAAGUUU
rnacentral:rRNA from 1 species